GACGAACGCUGGCGGCGUGCCUAAUACAUGCAAGUAGAACGCUGAAGAGAGGAGCUUGCUCUUCUUGGAUGAGUUGCGAACGGGUGAGUAACGCGUAGGUAACCUGCCUGGUAGCGGGGGAUAACUAUUGGAAACGAUAGCUAAUACCGCAUAAAAUUGAUUAUUGCAUGAUAAUUAAUUGAAAGAUGCAAUUGCAUCACUACCAGAUGGACCUGCGUUGUAUUAGCUAGUUGGUGAGGUAACGGCUCACCAAGGCGACGAUACAUAGCCGACCUGAGAGGGUGAUCGGCCACACUGGGACUGAGACGCGGCCCAGACUCCUACGGGAGGCAGCAGUAGGGAAUCUUCGGCAAUGGGGGGAACCCUGACCGAGCAACGCCGCGUGAGUGAAGAAGGUUUUCGGAUCGUAAAGCUCUGUUGUAAGAGAAGAACGGGUGUGAGAGUGGAAAGUUCACACUGUGACGGUAUCUUACCAGAAAGGGACGGCUAACUACGUGCCAGCAGCCGCGGUAAUACGUAGGUCCCGAGCGUUGUCCGGAUUUAUUGGGCGUAAAGCGAGCGCAGGCGGUUAGAUAAGUCUGAAGUUAAAGGCUGUGGCUUAACCAUAGUAUGCUUUGGAAACUGUUUAACUUGAGUGCAGAAGGGGAGAGUGGAAUUCCAUGUGUAGCGGUGAAAUGCGUAGAUAUAUGGAGGAACACCGGUGGCGAAAGCGGCUCUCUGGUCUGUAACUGACGCUGAGGCUCGAAAGCGUGGGGAGCAAACAGGAUUAGAUACCCUGGUAGUCCACGCCGUAAACGAUGAGUGCUAGGUGUUAGGCCCUUUCCGGGGCUUAGUGCCGCAGCUAACGCAUUAAGCACUCCGCCUGGGGAGUACGACCGCAAGGUUGAAACUCAAAGGAAUUGACGGGGGCCCGCACAAGCGGUGGAGCAUGUGGUUUAAUUCGAAGCAACGCGAAGAACCUUACCAGGUCUUGACAUCCCUCUGACCGCUCUAGAGAUAGAGUUUUCCUUCGGGACAGAGGUGACAGGUGGUGCAUGGUUGUCGUCAGCUCGUGUCGUGAGAUGUUGGGUUAAGUCCCGCAACGAGCGCAACCCCUAUUGUUAGUUGCCAUCAUUGAGUUGGGCACUCUAGCGAGACUGCCGGUAAUAAACCGGAGGAAGGUGGGGAUGACGUCAAAUCAUCAUGCCCCUUAUGACCUGGGCUACACACGUGCUACAAUGGCUGGUACAACGAGUCGCAAGCCGGUGACGGCAAGCUAAUCUCUGAAAGCCAGUCUCAGUUCGGAUUGUAGGCUGCAACUCGCCUACAUGAAGUCGGAAUCGCUAGUAAUCGCGGAUCAGCACGCCGCGGUGAAUACGUUCCCGGGCCU
rnacentral:rRNA from 1 species